rnacentral:rRNA from 1 species
GAUGUGUACAUAUUUUAAUUAAAAAUCAUUUUAUUAAAUUAAAUAAAAUUACAUUUAAAUCCAAUUUCAAACAAAUAUUACAGUUUAUUAUCCAAAAAUAAUUUUAUUGUAAUCCAUUAUAUUCUUAAAUAUAAACUACAUCUUGAUCUGAUUUAAUUUUUUUUUAAAAUUUUAAAAUAUUAAAUUUCAUAAAAAAUAUUUUUUUAACAACGAUAUAUAAAUUUUUAAUUUAAGUAAAUUAAUUCGUGGAUUAUCAAUUAUUAAACAGAUUCCUCUAAAUUUACUAAAAUACCGCCAAAUCAUUUAAAUUUCAAUAAAUAAUUAUUUACUAAUUU